UAAACGAUAAACCACGAAUAUCUUACCUAUAUUUUAGUUUGUAUACCGUCAUUAUUAGAUAACUUUGAUAGAGUAAGUUAUUGGAAUUGAUAAAUAUUAAAUAAAUUAGAUCAAGGUGCAGCUUAUAUGUAGGAGAAAAUGGGUUACAAUAAUUUUAUAGUUAAAUGAAUUUGUUGCUGAAAGGUGAUAAUGAAGGUGGAUUUAAUUGUAAGUAUAUUUAUCUAAAUAUAUUGAUAUAAGGCUCUAAAAUAUGUACAUAUCGCCCGUCGUCGCGGGAAAA
rnacentral:rRNA from 1 species